UACGGUAGGUGGCAAGCGUUGUCCGGAUUUACUGGACGUAAAGAGCGCGCAGGCGGUCGUUCAAGUCGCGUGUGAAAGCCCCCCGGCUCAACUGGGGAGGGUCACGCGAUACUGAUCGACUCGAAGGCAGGAGAGGGAAGUGGAAUUCCCGGUGUAGUGGUGAAAUGCGUAGAUAUCGGGAGGAACACCAGUGGCGAAGGCGACUUCCUGGCCUGUUCUUGACGCUGAGGCGCGAAAAGCUAGGGGAGCAAACGGG
rnacentral:rRNA from 1 species